GAGUGUUGGCCUCCAGCAUAAUGUUAGCUCUUCCUGGGAUUAUACAUGUUACUUUUUGGGUGUUGGGAGUAAGGUUUUUGUUUUGGGGUAUGUGGUUUAGUGCUUUGUUCUUUAAUAGGCUGUACUCCAUUUCGUGGCUGCGAAAUAAGUUUUAAUGCGAAGACUUUUAAUUUAUGUCCCUUCUUCAGUAAUUGGAAUUGGAUAGACCUCGUAAAUGAGAAUUCAGCUUUGAUAGGAAUUAAGGGGUGGGUAAUGAGGUGCCAGCACCUGCGGUUAUACUUUAGCCUCAAGUUAACUGGGUUUGUGAAGAGGUAACGGAGUUUUGAAAAGGUAUUCCUUAGCUAUACUGGUAAAAUGGGUUAUUAGGGGCCGAGUGGCUAGUGGGAGGUUUAAGGCUUUGGACUCUGGAGACCUGAAAGGCUGUGUUUGGAGACGGGGAUUAGAUACCCCCUUAUUAAUGUUGUCUUGUUGUUUCAUGGGGAUUACGAGAAGUUAUCUUAAAAUCCAAGGGGGUUGGCGGUAUCCUAUAUCCUUUAAGGGGAACUUGGCGGUUAAUUCGAUAAUCCUCGAGGACUUUACCCUUUGUGUUCUUAACAUACCGCCGUUGUCAGUAGUUUUUUUGUUAAUGUAGAGGACUGCAGGGGAUGUAUUGAUCAUACGGUGUUGUUCUUUAUAUCCAUAUGAAUUCAGGUAAACGUGUUGGUAGUCAAGGGGGCUUAGCUGAGUUACAAUUAUAUAAUAAGACGGAGGUAGAGAGGUGGUUGAAAUGCCAUGCUGAAGGUGUACUUUAUAGUAAUGCUUUUGAUUGAGUGAGCAUGAAUUAGGUUUGGGGUGUGUACAAAUCGCCCGGUGCCCCUGUAUAAACAAGUCUGGGUAAGCCGUAACAUAGUAAUGCUACUAGAAAGUGGUUUUAAA
rnacentral:ncRNA from 1 species